AAUACAUCGUGGACAAUUAUUUCAAAAUACAAAUUUCCUUAUAUUAUUUAAUGAAUAUAGAGUGGGUAAGAUAUCACCACAACUUUCCCAAGUCUUCUUUAGCAUCUCCGCUCCGGCUAGCUAAAGCUGGAUUUUACUAUAAUACUGGAAUACGCGAAAACGCAACAUGCUUCUGUUGUGGUCUGAUAAUCGGCUCGUGGACAACAGAUGAAUCUGUUUCUAUCUUCAUCAGCGUCUGUCUCCACAUUGCGGAUAUUUGAAUGGAGAAGACAAGACAAAUAUCCCGAUUCAUGGUGAUCCGUACUCGGAACAGUCCAGUAAGGAUACUAACGAAGCCGAGAAUGUCUCUACUUCAGAUUCAGUUAUCAGACUGAGUCAAAGACAAAGAUCAGUUAUCACAAGGGAAGUCAGUGGGAGCGUUCAAGAUGAAGGCAGUUUUUGUAUUAGUGAUGAACGAUCGAAUCAUACACAAAAUUGCUCAGAAAGACUUUUCCACAGGCAAAUGAUCAAAUUGAAUACUAUCCUGGUAUAACUACACAAAAACCGAAACAUCUAGAUUAUGCAAUAAAAGUGUGUCAGACUGUCUUCAUUUAUUAACUGGUGUACAGAUCUGAUGGAUCCAGAACAACUCGCAGAAGCAGGGUUCUAUUACGCAGGUGUUCAAGACUGUGUCCGAUGCUUUUUCUGUGGUGGCGGAAUGAAAAACUGGGAAAAACGGUGACAAUGCAUGGAUAGAGCAUGCUAGAUGGUUUCCGAAUUGUGCAUACGUGAAACAAUGCAAGGGAGAAAAUUUUGUAAGCAUGUGUCGCAUGGCAAAUAUUGACUACAUGACAGCUAAUGGUGUAAUGCAAGAUCUGGCAACAACAUGGAAUCAGGAAGGUUGUGGCAACUUUGUCGCAGACCAAUUGAUAGAAGACCUUAACAGCGCAGCUGCCAAACUUGUUGUCAGUAUCGGAUACAAACAGGAGGAUGUAGAAAAUGCUGUAAAAAUUGCGAUGGAGAAAUAUGGUAGAUUCUUACGUCUAUAACACUGCAAAAGCUAUUAGAGGAAAAUCGUCAACUGAGAAGUCAAAUGACUUGCAAAAUUUGUUUAUACAAGGACGCCUGUGUUGUUUUUAUACCUUGCGGUCACAUGGUUUCUUGUGUUGAAUGUGCGCAUGCGCUAAGAAAAUGUACUGUUUGCAGAUCAGUCAUACAAGGAACAGUAAGAGCGUAUCAAGCAUAGAGACACGCAGCAUCUAAAAUCGCUUACGUGAUGUUUCUUAUCAAUAGUCACUUUCUUCUAUGUGCAACAUAAUUUUGAUAUACAAGGAUACAUAUACUUUUAUCUCAACAGAAUUAAGUUUUUAUUCUGGAUGAAAUUUGAAUAUCCCUAAUACUAUAUUGAAUUUUAAGUAAUAAUGAAUCUUAAACAAAACCUUUAUUAAAUUUUUAAUAUUUGUA